AUUUUGUCAGAACCGUAUUUUAGCCGACACGUACUUUAUCCGAACCGUAUUUCAGCCGACAAAUCCCCCUCCACUAUAAUCAACGUUCUGCCAUACCUCAUCUGCAGUCCGUACGCGCAAUUACCGACGUUACCGUACCGGUUGUGUUGUAGCGUAGGUUGGAGUGGAGCGGGAUUUUGUCGGCUAAAAUACGGUUCGGAUGAAAUACGUGUCGGUUAUAAUACGGAUUGGAUCAAAUAUUUGUCUGCUUAAAUACGGUUCGGAUGAAAUACGUGUCGGUUAAAAUACGGUUCGGAUUUGUCGGCUUAAAUACUGUUGGCUAUGAUAUUUUCGGCUAAAAUAUAGCCCCUCCGUACCAUAAUAUAUUCACUUAUAUAUCUUUCUUUCUCCUACAAACCAAUCUAUAACGACUAUUGUUUGGACAUCUACAUUGAUCCCUUAUAUAUGCAGUAUAGACAAACAAUUGCCCGAGUUUAUCAUUAUCACUACUUUUUGGUAAUAAAAAUGCUGAUAAAAAUACCCAAGAAAUAAUAACUAACACGGUUUUAAAUACUAUGUUAUUUUAUUGUCCGUAGCCUAUAGCCGUGAUUGAAACAUCAGAGCCAAACAUUUCCAAAGAGGGGGCGAUACACCCAUCGCCCCUCCCUCAAAUACGUCACUGCAUAAUAGUAAUCAUCGUCUUAUAACCUGCAACACGUUCGUAUGCGAUCGGAAUUUAAACAUUCUAAACGCAUGCAUUAUAAUAAAACCAAUGCAUUAUUCGCCACACUCAAAAUUGGAGAACAGGGGAGAUCCGUGGCCCAUUGAUAUACUUUUUAUUAGUUUGAAGUCCAUGGCCCGGAAAAGAACUCCUGUAGCCUAUAUAAUUUUAAAUCUCCGCAUAUCAACCAAACACUUCUUUUUAAUAUACCUAAGUAGCCUGUAUGCGAAUUCGGCAACAUUCCCCAACCGAACUGCAAUCCGUUUAAUACAAUAUGGUGCAUAAAGUGUAAAUACCUUCCGCGUGACAUAUGAUGUAAUAAUACCUAAAUUGUAUACGACUUGUUC